AGAGUGAACGCUGGCGGCAGGCCUAACACAUGCAAGUCGAACGGCAGCACAGGAGAGCUUGCUCUCUGGGUGGCGAGUGGCGGACGGGUGAGGAAUACGUCGGAAUCUGCCUAUUUGUGGGGGAUAACGUAGGGAAACUUACGCUAAUACCGCAUACGACCUACGGGUGAAAGCGGAGGACCUUCGGGCUUCGCGCAGAUAGAUGAGCCGACGUCGGAUUAGCUAGUUGGCGGGGUAAAGGCCCGACCAAGGCGACGAUCCGUAGCUGGUCUGAGAGGAUGAUCAGCCACACUGGAACUGAGACACGGU
rnacentral:rRNA from 1 species